ensembl:lncRNA
CUCAGAUCCAAGACAGCUUUUAAAUCUGCCUACCUCUCAGCAAAACUCAGCUCUAAUCCUAGUGUAAGCAAAUGGAUGUUAGUAAAACAAAAGCAUUAAACAGCUUCCCGAUCUCCUUCUCCCGCUCUUCCUGCUCUCCUUCUUUCCCCUCCAGCCAUUCUUUGCCAUAUCUGCAGCAUCAGGCUGUAUUCUUAAUAGGCAGCUUGAUAAGUCUAUCCAUUGUGACCACAAUCUUUGCCAAAGCUGGAGGCUUUAAAGCCUAAAAUGGUGCGCUGCCACUUUUGGGAUUAAAGACACUAAAGGCCGUCUGGAUGGAGCAUCAAUAGAUUGUUUCUCUGAGGAUGAGAUAGCAAGGGAGUAAAGAAACACACACCUAUGGCUCCUACCAUUCAUCUUCCUGAUACAGGCUCUUGGAGGCAUGGCACAGAUUUUGGGGAGCUAGGAUUCUGGGCUCACAGUGCUUGCUGUGACCCUGCUCGCUGGGGCUCAGUGAGAUGGAUAUGGGCAGAAGUAUCAUCGAGAUUUAAUGUGGCAGUUUUAGACUCAUAAUCAAAGUUGGCAUCUCUGUUGCCGAUCUUAAGGAGCGUAUCUGGUUUUACAAAGGCACAGCUCCCAUCAUGAACUUCUUUAAUUGCACAUAAGCCCUGAUUUUUGCAGCUCCACUUUUAUAAAAGCCUUUUUAGCUCUUAUUGCCUGGAGCCAUCUGAGGCUACAGAAUUGUCCCCAGUUUUUUGAAGACCUGAUUUUUCAGUGGUGUUUUUGUGUCCUGAGACUUUUUGCAAAAAAAAAAUGAGAGCUAAAGGCGCUAAUAAAGAAGUGGCAAUAAUUAGAAAACGUCUUGCACAGUACAGAUUUUAUAACUCCACAGAUACCGUGGUAUUAACAUUCUGUUUGUCCACCUGUUAGAAGAAAGAGAUCUGAAGAGUCAUAACUCUAAAACAGUGGGUGACAAUUUAAUGAAAAAUUGAGCUCUGCGUUUAAUUUCCUUUUAAGUUCAGUUGAGCAUUCUACAAGAUCAAAGGGGCUUUGUGGUUUGCAAAUGAUCUACGAUAUCAGAGAAACAGAUUAUAACCCGGCACAGUUUGGUAUUUAAGUAAGUAUCCGCUUUUAAUACCAAUGUUUAAAGUAGGCUAAUGGAACUAAAGCGCGAGUAUAAUUUCCUAUGAUACAAGUCUAUAAUCCAGUUUAAUAUAUCAACCGAACGCUAAAAGCAUAUUGUGAAUUUAAUUCUGUGACUUGGCCCUGUUUGCAAAGUAUCCUGAGACAUCAUAAAAUGCAUCUAGCACAAAAAGAGGCCCUGCCUUAGUUUGUAACUUUUGGGGUAGGGACUGGGCUCUAUGUGGGUUUGGAACGUUAGAAAUAGUUAAGCGAAAGUAGUGCUGCACAUCAGGGAGGAAUUUUUUGUUUUGUUUUAGCCUAGCUGCUGGAUAUUUGCCUAGAAGACAUCCUACAGCUGGCUUUUCCCCUUUCAUGUCCACGCAAUGCUACCGUGGGCAGUAGAACUACAGAAACAAAUAAACAGAAUAAUAGAAUGGCUUAAGUCAGAAGGAAACGUAAAGAUCAUUGAGUACUAAUCCCUGCUGUGGGCAGGACUGCCAACCACUAAAUCAGGCUGCCCAGGCCUCCGACCAACCUGGAAUGGGGUUACACCAGGUUAAAAGCAGACAUAGUUAUGGAGUAUCAGCACACACUGAUGUCCAGGCUCGAAGAAUCCGUUCAAUUGGGGAGGAAGAUUUAAAUGUUCCCAGUUCAGGUCUCCAGACAUCUCCAAAUUUCAUAUGAAGUAAGACAAGUCCAUGAGGUUCUACUAUUGUUGAAUAUAAGGUCCCUCUAGCCUCAGGCUCUGAAUGUGGCCUUUAAGAACUGCACCCUUUUCUGAUUGCUGCGAGCUUGUUGCCCUCACCAAAAACUCUUGAAUGCCAUCAGCAAAGCUCCUGUCCACUCCGACAAUGUGAAAUCAGAUAAAGAUGGUAAUGCUACAUUAUAACAGCGCUCCUGAGCCAUGUGAACAGCUUACACAGACACCAGAAUAGAGUAAGAGACCUGCAGGAGCAUGCUUUCACGUGCAAAGCAUCCUGAAGAUUCAAAAAUGCCACUCAUCGCAGGAACCAGACAACAGCGUAUUUCAUUAUCAGCAGGA